GAGGAUUUUUAAGAAAAAUGACGGAUAGAUGAGAAGUCGUUUAUGUGGAAUAAACCAAUCAGAAAAAGUUUCCAUUUUCAAAUUUAUUCUUGCAAAAAAGUGCUUAUAUCAAUAAAAGUGCUUAUUUAUAUCAACAGAAGCGAAAACAGGUUUUUGCAGUUCAGCGGGUACACCUUUAAUCAGAUUUCAAAUCUUCCUAUAUAUUGUAGCAGAAAAACUCGAGGUAAUUGUCGUAAUGGUGGGCUGUUUCCCUUCAACGCCCAAGAAUCUGGCAAUCACCAUUGCAUGUUCCCUCUCUGGAGCUGUCCUUUUUGCUGUUGGGAUUCACUUUUCUUAUGUCAAUGUUGAACCCCAACGAGCCCGAACUAUGGCUCGCGAUAAAUUUGUCUUAGAUACCUUGAGAAAGAAGUAUGGUUACAUUCCUCCAUCCGAGGUCCGAAGUAUGGCUCGCACUGAUUCUCAAAAAGAAAAUAGCUGAAUCAGACUUUGGGAUUAAAAGUUACUUAUGGGGGUGCUGUUGAAUGCUAAAAGCUUUGGUUUUUCAUUCUUGCUCCUUUGUAUGCUUUAUCACUAAUGUACACAACCAUAAUUUAAAUGUUCUUAGUGUUACCUUCAUCAUGUGAGCUUUUACAAUGGGCAUAGUUGCUCUUUUAUCAAAUAUGUGUUAGGGUUACAGUCUGUUUUAAAGAUUUUUUAGUUGAUAAUGAAAUAGUUGCAAUGGUAUUGGAGGCAUCAAAUCGAUAGUGUUUGAUUGAACUUUUCUAAUGAAAUAUCUCACUAAUUGACUAAUGCUGCUAUUUCAUUUCUGUUGAACUUAUUAAGGCCUUUCUGUGCUAGUUUUUGUAUUAGAAUGGAGGAAGAAUAAAAAGAUGAUAUAGUUCUGUCAGUUGAGAUAUAAUUGAUUAUUUUUUUAUUCUUCUUAUUUUCUUUCUAAUAAAGCUUAGGAUGUGGCAAUUUGUAAAGUAUUACAGGUGGUGGCUGAAAGUCUUUCUCUAACACAACAUAAAAUUGAUAGUGUUUGAUUGAAGUUUUCUAAUGAAAUAUCUAAUCCCACUAAUUGACUAAUGCCUCUAUUUCAUUUCUGUGUUAGUUUUGUAUUUGAAUGGAGAAAACAUGCGUUCUUCUCAAUGUAACUAGAGACAUGCCUUCAGGUUGAGUAAAUUGGAAUGUGUGUCAAAUGUAAACCCGUUACACAUACAUAAUAUAACUGGGUGGUAAGUAUUGCUUCUAUCAUCAUGGUUCAUGCAGCAGGAUAAAGUGGAAAUGAGAAUGUCCCCUUUAGCCUGCACAGUAAAGAAUACAAUAAACAAAUUUGAUGGGAGGAAGAAAAAAAAGAAAGAUGCUUUAGUUCUGUCAGUUGAGAUAUAAUUGGUCAUUCUCUGAUUCUCAUGUUCUUUCAUGUAAAGCUUAGGAUGUGACAAUUUGCAAAGUAGUAUUACAGGUGGUGGCUGAAAUUCUUUCUCUAACGAAACUUUCUGACCAAAGGAUUCACUUAACUCAUCCACAGCAUCACUUCUAUCAGAUGUAAAGAAAUGCAGUGGUAUCUUCUUUGGAAUACUGCAUAUGAGAGACCCGGUUGGCCAUUCUCUAAUACUCUUCUGCUCAACUUGCCGCUUUACCUGCUUCCAGAUUUCAUGGCAACUAAAAUGCUUUGCUGAAUUAGCAGGUUAUCUCGUGUUCUUAAACUACUACUGACAACCUUAAUGUUAGAAAGCCGAGUGGAAAAUUUUAUGAUUUGGUGUUACAGCAUGUUGUAUUGGCUGGUGACAUUAACCACUAUUGCAUAAUUCAUUUUACUGACUUACUCACAAAAUCAGAAGGUACUUGUCUUGCACAGAAAUUGCUGUUUUUUAAUUUUGUUUUAUCUGAUAACAAUCAAUAGAAUAUUGGCUAACUAAUGCAAAAACCCAAAAUGAUUAAUGGUAUAUUCUUUAAGCUUUUCCAACAUAGAGAAUUCCACUAACGCAAACGUUCAUUCUUCUAGUUUAUUAUGUGAUCAUUUGAAGUUAAAGCUUUCAGCCCCUGCAGUUUUAUAUGUCUACAUAUUUCAGCUGGUUUGUUUUCUCUCUAACAUCGAGUUGAGUUGCUGAAUCAAUUUGAAGUUGACCGCAUAUUAUGUUAAAUUAUUAAUGUUCAGGUACCCUGCAUGUAUUUCAUUAUGAGUUAUAUAUUCUCACACAUACGAUAUGCCAUUGCUAUCCUUUUUGUGUGGAUAAUUAUAUCUCAUAUUAGUUGGAUUUCAAGAAACUCUAAUUAUAGAGAAAGUCUCAAGACUGAAAGAGCAUAUACAAAUGUACAUACUUAUACUUAUGUAAUUUGGAAUUCAAUAUAUUUUUUCCAUGAAAGAGGGAAAGUAACACUCUUCAAAUUUCGGACAAGUACAAUAGUCGGUUCGACAAGUCUAUCAUUCGCGAUUGAAUGUGUCUUUUUUUUAUAUUUGUAAAAGUCUAACCAACUCUACUUAUGGUAAAGGUACUGAAAAGCUUGUUUCUUUACAAUUAUGUUGUUUUCCUUUCAAGUUUUAGUAUUUGUCCCUCCAUGUUUCAGUUUUGUUUUCUUUGAUAUAUUUUUGAUUUACAAAUAAAAGAUUCAAACAAUGAACUGAAAAUAAUAUUUAUUCACUUCAUAAAAUAGCAAACAAUGGUACGAAAUCUUUAUUUUAUUCUGAUAACAUUAGUAGCCCUUUUACACUAUUUUGUAAUCAUGA